GGUGGGGUAGCUCAGUUGGUUAGAGCAUCAUCCCAAUAUACUAAAGUUGCAGGUUUGAUCCCUGUCCCGAACA
rnacentral:tRNA from 1 species